UUUAGCCUCCCAAAGUGCUGGGAUUACAGGCAUGAGCCACCAGACCUGACCCAUAAUUUUAGAUUUUCUUGAGUGAUCUUUGAUUAAUAUAUUUGUCUCCCAUUUAAAGGUGAGCUCCACCUGGACAGGUACCCUAUCUUUGAUUUCCCACCAUUGUGUCUACAUAGCAUAGCAUCAUGCCUGGUAUGAAAAUGAAAUGGAAAGAUGAAUUCAUUUAUAAAUGAGUUGUGAGGACUGGAGAUUGCUCAUGGGAAGCACCUGGGUCAGUGCCUGGCACACAGUAGGCCUUCAGCGAGGAGAAUGGAAAAGAGACAAGGGAAUGAAAGCCUCUUCACAAGUGAAUGAUCUUACCUCCUACAGUCAGAAUGCUUCCUAUAGUGAAAAAGGAAGCAGCCACUUUUUUUCUGCUCAGCUCCCAGUGUGUUGGGGUAGAGUAGUAAGGCCAGACUUCAGUUCCCAACAGCUUAAUGGGCCGAACCCUCUGAACCUCAGUUUCCCAAUUGUGUAUAAGCAUAAAGUAAUGACAUCCCCUUUGACUGUGGGAACUAAGAGUUGAUGGAUAUAAACAAGCUUCAUUAAGUUUUACUCACAUGUUCUAAUUGUUCCCACUGUAUUUUCUUAGAAUGUUUUUCAGUUUUCAUUUCGAAAGGAAAAUUUUCUUUGGAUUAAUCUGUUUGCAGCUAUUCCAUAAAAAUGGAGUUUUAAGGCCCCAAGUCACACAGCCAACUCUGCCUUUACCAAAGGAAGGCACAAGAGAAGCCCCUCCUGAGAUUGGCAGGGUUGCCUAUUCAGCAGCCCCUGGGACAUCCAGGACAGUGUUAUCAGUUCACUGAUGGCACGAUCUUUAAAUGAAAGCUCAAAAGCAAA